UACGGAGGAUGCAAGCGUUAUCCGGAAUGAUUGGGCGUAAAGCGUCCGCAGGUGGCUAUGUAAGUCUGCUGUUAAAGAGUCUAGCUCAACUAGAUAAGAGCAGUGGAAACUACAUGGCUAGAGUACGUUCGGGGCAGAGGGAAUUCCUGGUGUAGCGGUGAAAUGCGUAGAGAUCAGGAAGAACACCAGUGGCGAAGGCGCUCUGCUAGGCCGUAACUGACACUGAGGGACGAAAGCUAGGGGAGCGAAUGGG
rnacentral:rRNA from 1 species